UUAAAAGCCCAUCUAUGUCCCUGCACUGGAUCGUAACGGCCGCAUCGUGCUUGUGCACGUCGCCACCGGCACCCGGGUCGCGCCGCGGUCGCCGGCGCCAUCCAACAGGUCACGUCUGCCUCACCCCAUCUUCCAGGAGGCCUCCGUAAGCACCGUCGUCUUCUGCCGGAUCGUGCCGUCUCCCGCCGACGCUGUCCACAAUAGGACGCCUCCACCCUGUCUCGCCCCAUCUUCUAGCUUGCGCGAUCAGUGCGUGCAAACGCACACAUAUCAAUAUUGCAAGGUACGCAGCAGCAGCAUCACUAGGGAUAUCUUAAGCUAACUGGACUUCAUCAGUGGAUGCAAGCCUACGCAGAUCCAUCUUCUCGAACUGCUGGACGCCCUUGUGUUGCUGCUGUGAGGCGAAGAGGAGAAGUGGCCAACGAUGAGGCAGUGCAUGAGACGGAGGCGAAGGUCCAAGCUAUUGACGCAGGAUCCAGGCCGCUGGCGGAGGCCGCUGCGCCACGAGGACACUGAGAAACCGAGGCGGCUGAACGACGGCGACCACAGCUGGUUCGCUCCAAUGGUGGGUGGCGGCGGAUCCAGUCGUGCUCUUCCUCGAGCUCCCCGUCGUCGUGCUACGAAGCGCGCCCACAUCUCCCCCCGCCAGGGACUCUGAAGUUAUUCUUCUGCAAAGUGGCAAGCUCUUUAUCAGGCCAGGCUCCAGAAAAAGAGAACAAUUGGUAUGUUUCUAUUCUAAGGUUGUUUCUAAGAAGCUGAACAUAAUCUGAACCACUCAGAAUCCUGUGUACAAGUCCAGCCAUGCAAGUGCAAGUACAGGUACGUCGGCUGCUGCGUACAAAGGGUGGGUGCAAGGCAAGUAGACACAUGAAGCUAGUAUGACUACAAGGAUCUGCAGUACUGACAAAACUCAGUCUGCACAAGGUGAAAAUCAGUGUACUUCUCCCCUUGGUCAUCUCUCAAAUGAGAUGUUUUUCAUUGGAUUAGUCUGUGAGCUGAGAGUGUACCGAUUCUCUUCUAUGCUAAUCUGAAUUGCAUGUGGCUGAUUGGUUAAUUGUUGUCCAUGUGGUUUCCAUGAUUUUUGUUUGGAUGCAAAGUAGAUAAGGAAUACGAACAAGAAAUAUACUAGGGCCAAGGAAACGUGUGUUACUAGGUCAUAUCAAGGGUGGUUUCAGAAAUUAUAGGCUAUAUAUGUUUAGUGUGUGAGAUUGGGAGAUUAGUAAAAGAAAUUAACAGUUACUGUCGCUUUGUAUGGAUAGAUUAAUGUUUUUCUGUUGGCAUAAUGCAGAGGAAGUACAAAUCAUAAUGUAUAACAUAUUCAUCCCUUUUUGUCUAACAUUAAUAACAGAACAUGAAAAAAUUAUAUGUCUCAGCAGACCAGUUAUCGGUAGAACUACGUGCUUUGUGGUUUGCACCUCAAUUGACUACAUCACUUGUUGAAAAAUAAAGACAAGGUCGAAUGCAUAUUAUGAAGUAAGUACUAUCUAUCAUGGUUACUACUCCCUCCAUUCCAAAAUAUAGUGCGCCCGCGCUUCCCGAGGUCGAACUUUGACCAUAAAUUUAACGAACGAGACCGACUGCGGCGGGUGAAAAAAAUUACAUAAUUAAAAACUUCUUUCGAAUACGAAUUCACUGAUAUAAUUCUUGCUCCCGCCGCAAUCGGUCUUGGUAGUUAAAUUUACGGUCAAAGUUGAAGCACGGAGAUAGAGGAAGCACUACAUUGUGGAAUGGAGGGAGUAUAUAAUAAAGAGUGAUUAUCGGUGAAACCCUGACAAUAUUGUAUGGUGUGCAUGACGAUCCUAAAGAUAUUUAUGUUCGACAUGAUGUGUAUGAGGCCUAAAUAUAUACUCCCACGUGGGGGUACGAAUAUCUAUGCUCCCGUUGCAGCGCACGGGCAUUGUCCUAUUUAUCUAAAAAACACGCAAGGUUCCUUUUCCUGUCAAUGACCGCGUCCUGCCCUCCCUUCGGCGACCCACCCCUGCGAUCGGUUCCUUCCCCCCUUGCCUCCACGUCGAUAGCCCCUCGUGAAAAAAGCCCUCCAGGAAAAAUAGGAUCCCUCCCGAUCCAACUUUCUCUCGCUGACCAAGCCCUAUCCCCAUCCCAAUAUGGCCACUGCCAGGAUUGUUAACGUCGCCUCCCCUCCUCCAUCUUCUCAUGAGCGUCGGGACAUGGCUGUCCUCCAGCAAUGCGCCGCCCACCCACCGACGCCGCACACCUGCGACCAGGAUGUACCGCCUGUGACCCAGUGACUCGAUGCGAAGCCCCGAGCUACUUCUCCAAUGGCGUCCGCCGUUCGUCGGCUUCGUCCUGGUCUUGAAGCUCCCCUCAUCUCUCUCGCGUGGCAACGACCUUGGAUCGAGAGCAACGCCGGCCGGACCUAGGCCAGCUCCGUCGGCGACCCAGUUUUUUUAGGAAGCACAUCACUAUGUACUGCAUAUAUUAAUAUUUACAAAAGGAAAAGAAAAAACUAGAUCUAGAGUAUGUAUAGGAAAGAACCUAUAGGCUGCACAAAAUUGGCUGCCUAGGCCUGUUACAACAGCGUAUUAAGCUAAGAUUGUUCCUUGGAGGAAUGUAAAUAAGCGUUAUGUGUUGGUCAUGGCAAGAAAGAACAAGUAAGAUUAAAACCAAAUAAGCCUCCUACCAGGUUUUCAUUCGGGUUAGAAGAUAAAGUUGUGUGUAUUAUUUCAGAAAAACCGUGAAGCAGCAGGUCUAGCAACCCUUAAUGUCCUUCUUUGCAUUUGCAAACACUUGGCCUGAUUGUUUUUAAAGAUUGAUGUGUUUCUCGUGGUCCAAGUGCUCCAGCAGCCAUGGAUGAUCAACUCAUGGUGAAAAGGUUUCUUCAGAGAGCCCUUUAGAGCAAUGAUCCAUUGACUGGCAGAAGACAAAUUGGUAUGUGAUCCAGGGUGGGGCAUAAAUAUUUCUAGCAAAGCUUUCCAAACGACAACCAGGUAAUGUUCAUGUGGCUAUUCAAAGUGAAAUUAGUUGGCUUGAUUUGAUUCUCUUGGAAAACUAAUUAGUCACAGCUUUGACUCGAAACGGCCACAACAUGAGUGUUGUAGUUCAUCAACUCUACCAUGACUUCCAUAAGCGAGGUCUGCUAACAGGCCAAUUACAUGCUAUUGUAAUUGGGGUACACAAGAUGGCGAGAAGGGCCGCUGACGACACAAGUGCAUUGGGUGGCCGACAGCCUUAUUCAUGGGCGUCAGUGGCAAAUCUAUCACAUCUUGUGAGUAUAUUGCAUGCGUAGUCCUAACAUAUACGCAUGUUCCUUUCGAGCGGUUGAAUUUUUAGAUGCUAUUAUUCAACUAAUGAUGAUGAUGUAACACGUACACUUCUCUAAUUUGGCUUCACUUUCACUGAAUUAUUCCAAACUGUGCACUGACAUUUUUUAUGGAUCUCACAAACUGUGCACUGACAUUGGAACUUGAACAUGGCACAUCUCAUGAGGAGAGGAAAAGAUGACUCACAUGCUCUGUCGACAAGUAGUGGGUUAGCAUUGUGGCAGAUCAUGGAUCUACAAGAUGUAUCUGCCCCUUCCCUUAUACAUCUUUGUUUUGACUAGGGGGAGCCGGCGGGCAGGAGCGGAACUGGACGAAGCUCCGGUCAAAGAUCGCUGUGUUGCAUGUAAUAGUAUGGAUUUGAGGUAUCCGGAUGUGGAAUGCAUUUUAGAGGGGUGACCGGUCACUAUCCACGGACACGCCCAGGCGCGUCCGCAGACAUUUGAAGGGUCGGAUUUUGCCAAGUCCGGUUGUAGAUUCUCUUAGUGGAGCAAGAACAUGUUGACGUUUGUUGGGUUGUGGUGUAGGUUGAGUUAUGGACUUAAAAUGCAUGAGCCUUUGCACUGGUCGUCGUUGUGGACUAACGAAUUGCUUAUUGCCUCUAGGUAUGAACAUGUCUGGAUCCUUCUCUUCUUUGGAUCCAUUGAUUUUUGUGCAUAUAGAAAAGAGAAGUCAAGAGAAAGCACUUCAAAACUAAUGGGCCAAGAAAGAAGAUUGAUUUUGUGGAUGGUUAUAAGUUGAGAAAUAUUUUUUUAUUACAUUUGCUAAAGUACCGUGCAAAUGAAGCUUAAGACAACAUACCUGACGUUGUAAGGGUAAUUCAUAACAAGCAUCAACUAACAAUAGUAACAGGAGUGCAGCAAGUGGUUUACACAAAGAGAGAGAAUGCCGGCAGCUGGAAUUCUGGACCUAGAAAAGCUACGUCAGAGUUACCUAUUCUGCAC